rnacentral:rRNA from 1 species
UACGAAGGGUGCAAGCGUUACUCGGAAUUACUGGGCGUAAAGCGUGCGUAGGUGGUUCGUUAAGUCUGAUGUGAAAGCCCUGGGCUCAACCUGGGAAUGGCAUUGGAUACUGGCGACCUAGAGUGCGGUAGAGGGGUGUGGAAUUCCCGGUGUAGCAGUGAAAUGCGUAGAUAUCGGGAGGAACAUCUGUGGCGAAGGCGACACCCUGGACCAGCACUGACACUGAGGCACGAAGGCCAGGGGAGCAAACGGG